ensembl:lncRNA
AAGGGUAUCUUGCUCCCUUUAUACCCAAAGCCUUCUGAAGGUAACGGCGUGCUGUGACCAAGUGGCUGGACAAGGUCUCUGCUCUGCUCUACGUGAUGGGAUAGAAGUGUGACACCAGUCUGGGACCCAAGGCUUCUGAAAGAAGAAGAAAAAAAGGGAGAAGACAGAGCUGAAGGUGAUCCAAAGGACAGGGUUGCCCUGCUGGCCCUAUAAGAGCAGUUGGGUGGCUGCGUAACGCUGCCAGCAUGUAUAUAUUAUCCAUCUCUCCCCACCCCGGCCUAACCCAGAUGCUGCAUGACUGAUUGUACCCCAGAGAAGCUCCAGCCUCUUCAGCCAUAAAACUACCCCUGUUCUUGCUUUUCCGAACUGGUGUAACUGGCAUGCGGAAUGCAACAGCUGGUUAACUCUGCAAUGAUCCAAGAGCAGCAGAAGACAAGGAGUGCAGAGGGGGCUGCCUUCUUCUGCCAAGUGUAAAACUAAGCAGCUGCUUUAUAUUUUCACAUGAACAAAAAUGUUUUGUUAACUGCUUCCCUGCCAAAGGCAGUAUGAUGUGCCUACAAUAGGCUAUGGCUGCUGGGCUACGGGUUACUGGGCAUCAACAGGCUUAGUGAGGCUCCUUUUUUUCCAAGCAGUGGCCAAUAGCAUCCAGGACAAGUGCUUCCAUCACAGCAGGAAUGCUUGCAGGACAGAAUUCAAGUGACUUUAUUUUCUCUUUAGAGCAUAAAGCAUACCCAUAUGUGCAAAAAAGAAAAAGCACCCUUAAAAGAACAUUCUUAAGACUGCAAAUGCUUAAUAGCUAGGAAAUGCCACUGGAGAAAUAUGCUUUCUGCUCAUCUUUAAUUAUAUAUAAUAGACUCAUAAAAGGAUAGGGGUGGAAUAGACCUUAAUAUGUCAACUAAUUCUCCCCAACUCAAGCAAGAUUGGCUCUGUCAUCUAACAGUUGUCAAACCUGUCUUUCAAUAUCUCAAGUCCCCAAGAUUUUUUUUUCAAAGAAGUGUGGCUUUUGGGGAUCCUGGGGAGGUUGCAUUAAGGCUUUCCAGAACUGAAGAUCUUCAUCUUAUUAUACAAAUGAAAAGGUGGAUGAGGAAACUACUGUUAAUUAAAAGAAAAGUGAGAUUUCUUUUUUUAGAAUCAGAGUAUCGGAAGUGAGGCUGAGAAGAAAGCAUUUCACCCACCAAAGGAUAUACAGCCUGGAGAUCUGUCUGGAGGUACGAGUUACAGAGGGCAGAAAUUGAGCCCAAUGUUAUAUAUUUGCAUCUUCCUUUUUUGUCCUACUUUGCUGGUGAGUGGGUGCUGUGGAAAAGGUAAUUAAGAAGAGGCUAAUCAAGAGGCCUAAGAUGAUGUGUGUGAUGUGCGCUUCUGUGUAAAUAAAAGAGAUUAAGUAUAGAAAGCCAUCUCAGAAGGAGGAUCUGGAGCAAGUGAAAAAGACGCACUGCAAAUGUUCAUGGUCCAGGCUCUAGCUUGAAAGGGGGGUAGGUUCAUGAGACUGAAGUGCCAGAAACCAGUCUAACACCAGUCAAGGUGCUGGACAGCCAACUUGUGUGGCUGUGGGCAUGGCGGAACUGCUGACCUGCUGGUGAUUGCUCUCCCUAACAGCUGGAAAACUGGGAGAGGAGUCCCUGGUGGGACACAGCACUGAAGCCUUGAAGUGUGGAGCACAAGUCCAUGGCCACUGUACUCAU